CCUACGGGAGGCUGCAGUGAGGAAUAUUGGUCAAUGGGCGAUAGCCUGAACCAGCCAAGUAGCGUGAGGGAUGACUGCCCUAUGAGUUGUAAACUUCUUUUAUAUGGGAAUAAAUUGCAGUAUGUAUACUUCUUUGCAUGUACCUUAUGAAUACGGAUCGGCUAACUCCGUGCCAGCAGCCACGGUAAGACGGAGUAUCCGAGCGUUAUCCGGAUUGAUUUGGUGUAAAGGGAGCGUAGGCGGGUUGUUAAGUCAAAUGUGAAAGUGCGCGGCUCAACCGUAAAAUGGCAGUUGAUACUGUCAAACUUGAGUACAGUAGAGGAAGGCGGAAUUCGAGGGGUAGCGGUGAAAUGCUCAGAGAUAACGAAGAACACCGAUGGCGAAGGCAGCCUGCUGGACUGUAACUGACGCUGAUGCUCGAAAGUGUGGGUAUCAAACAGGAUUAGAUACCCGGGUAGUC
rnacentral:rRNA from 1 species